GAGUUUGAUCCUGGCUCAGGAUGAACGCUGGCGGCGUGCUUAACACAUGCAAGUCGAGCGAAGCGCUUUACUUUGAUUUCUUCGGAUUGAAAAGUGCUGCGACUGAGCGGCGGACGGGUGAGUAACGCGUGGGCAACCUGCCUCAUACAGGGGGAUAACAGUUAGAAAUGACUGCUAAUACCGCAUAAGACCACAGUACCGCAUGGUAUAGUGGUAAAAACUCCGGUGGUAUGAGAUGGGCCCCGCGUCUGAUUAGGUAGUUGGCGGGUAACGGCCCACCAAGGCGACGAUCAGUAGCCGGCCUGAGAGGGCGACCGGCCACAUUGGAACUGAGACACGGUCCAAACUCCUACGGGAGCAGCAGUGGGAAUAUUGCACAAUGGGCGAAAGCCUGAUGCAGCAACGCCGCGUGAACGAUGAA
rnacentral:rRNA from 1 species